rnacentral:lncRNA from 1 species
GUCCCAGGAGGGAUUUUGGGGGUCCCAGGAUGAAUUUUGGGGUCCCAGGAGGGAUUUUAAAGCCUUGGGUUGAAUUCUGGUCUCUUUCCCACCCCCCAAAAUCCCCGAUUCCCCCCCAAAUCCAGGCGUGGAUUUUGGCUACGAGGGCCAGGAGCUGCUGUUCCGCAACCUGGAUUUUGGGAUCGACAUGGAAUCCCGAGUUUGCAUCGUGGGCCCCAACGGGGUGGGGAAGAGCACCCUGCUGCAGCUGCUGACCGGGGCCCUGACGCCGGUAGGGACCCCCAAAACGGGGAGGGGACCCCCAAAACGGGGAGAGGGACCCCGAAAAUGGGGAGAGGGACCCCGAAAAUGGGAAAGGGACCCCGAAAACGGGGAAAAGACACCAAAAAUGGGGAAAGGAGACCAAAAAUGGGGGGAGGGACCCCAAAAAUGGGGAAAGGAGACCAAAAAUGGGGGGAGGGACCCCGAAAAUGGGGAGGGGACCCCCAAAACGGGGAGGGACCCCCAAAAACGGGGAGGGGACCCCGAAAAUGGGGAGAGAGACCCUGAAAAUGGGAAAGGGACCCCGAAAACGGGGAGAGGGACCCCGAAA